GUGCUUGCUUCAGCAGCACAUAGACCAAAAUUGUAAUGAUAGAGAGAAGAUUAAUUAGCAUGGUCCCCACAUAAGGAUGACGUGCAAAUUCAUGAAGUGCUCUGUAUUUAA